AUUCCCCUAGUAACUGCGAGUGAAGCGGGAAAAGCUCAAAUUUAAAAUCUGGUGGCCUUUGGCCAUCCGAGUUGUAAUUUAGAGAAGCGUCUUCCGCGCUGGACCGUGCACAAGUCUCCUGGAACGGAGCGUCGUAGAGGGUGAGAAUCCCGUCUUUGGCACGGACGCCCAGUGCUUCUGUGAUGCGCUCUCGAAGAGUCGAGUUGUUUGGGAAUGCAGCUCAAAAUGGGUGGUGAACUCCAUCUAAAGCUAAAUAUUGGCGAGAGACCGAUAGCGAACAAGUACCGUGAGGGAAAGAUGAAAAGCACUUUGGAAAGAGAGUGAAACAGUACGUGAAAUUGUUGAAAGGGAAACGCUUGAAGUCAGUCGCGUCGUCCGAGACUCAGCCUCGCCUCGGCUUGGUGUACUUCUCGGCCGACGGGUCAGCAUCAAUUUCGCCCCUUGGAUAAUGGCCAGGGAAAUGUGACACCUUUACGGGUGUGUUAUAGUCUCUAGUCGCAUGCAAGGGUCGGGAUUGAGGAACUCAGCACGCGCCUUCGGGCGUCGGGGUUCGCCCACGAUACGUGCUUAGGAUGUUGGCGUAAUGGCUUCAAACGACCCGUCUUGAAACACGGACCAAGGAGUCUAACAUGCCCGCGAGUGUUCGGGUGGAAAACCCGUGCGCGCAAUGAAAGUGAAAGUUGGGACCUCCGUCGUGGAGGGCACCAACGCCCGGACCAGACCUUCUGUGACGGAUCUGCGGUAGAGCGUGUAUGUUAGGACCCGAAAGAUGGUGAACUAUGCCUGAAUAGGGUGAAGCCAGAGGAAACUCUGGUGGAGGCUCGUAGCGAUUCUGAACGUGCAAAUCGAUCGUCAAAUUUGGGUAUAGGGGCGAAAGAC
rnacentral:rRNA from 1 species